rnacentral:rRNA from 1 species
GAUGAACGCUGGCGGCGUGCCUAAUACAUGCAAGUCGAGCGAACAGACGAGGAGCUUGCUCCUCUGACGUUAGCGGCGGACGGGUGAGUAACACGUGGAUAACCUACCUAUAAGACUGGGAUAACUUCGGGAAACCGGAGCUAAUACCGGAUAAUAUAUUGAACCGCAUGGUUCGAUAGUGAAAGACGGUUUUGCUGUCACUUAUAGAUGGAUCCGCGCCGCAUUAGCUAGUUGGUAAGGUAACGGCUUACCAAGGCAACGAUGCGUAGCCGACCUGAGAGGGUGAUCGGCCACACUGGACCUGAGACCCGGUCCAGACUCCUACGGGAGGCAGCAGUAGGGAAUCUUCCGCAAUGGGCGAAAGCCUGACGGAGCAACGCCGCGUGAGUGAUGAAGGUCUUCGGAUCGUAAAACUCUGUUAUUAGGGAAGAACAAAUGUGUAAGUAACUAUGCACGUCUUGACGGUACCUAAUCAGAAAGCCACGGCUAACUACGU